rnacentral:lncRNA from 1 species
CAGUGAACCAACAUUUACUAAGUCUCUACUAUGUGCUAAGCCCAGUGCCAAGGACACCAGACCAACACAUCCCAUUCAGUUUCCAAGGAGCCCAUAACCAAACACUCAUAGUGUGACCAGAUGAAGUGAUUAAAUCUUUCCCCUGUUUUGCCCACUACCGACCACCUCGGGAGGGUCCUUCUCUACCAGUGCAGGUCUUUGGGUUUCCGUGAUGGAGAAUUUGAGAAUGGGCAGGUUUGAGAGGCCAUCCCCCUCAAAACACACACACACACACACACACACACACACGAGGCUAAAGGUCAGUGAUAAGAAAGAGGAGGAGGAAAAUCAUCUCAGAAAAAGGGGAACAGGGAGUUCUCUUCGUGGCUCAGCGGUUAAAGAACCUGACUAGGAUCCAUGAGGUUGCGGGUUCAAUCCCUGGCCUCACUCAGCGGGUUAAGGAUUCGGCAUUGCCUGAGCUGUGGUGUUAGUCACAGACAUGGCUUGGAUCUGGUGUGGCUGUGGCUGUGGCGUAGGCCGGCAGCUGUAGCUCUGAUUCAACCCCUAGCCUGGGAACUUCCAUAUGCCUCGGAUAUGCCCCUAAAAAGACAAAAGACAAAAAAUAAAUAAAUAAGAAUAAAAUAAAAGAAUAAACAGAAUAAGCAAGGAGGUAGGGAAAGAUAGAGACCUUAAAGAGAAAUCCUCUUUCAGCCCUUGUUUUCAUCAGCAUGAUUUUCCUUGGACUGACGUUUCUUUACCUGCCCAAGGGGUGAAAGGCUCAGGGAAAAGGGAGAAAGGAGUCCCCUCAAGCUUGCCUUUGAGCCAGGCAAAAAGGGGGCUCCAUGUGGUCCAGACUUUGGGAAAAAGAACUUUUGUAGGAUUUGAAGCAAAAGCCUGAUAGUAAUAGAGAGUGUGUAUUCACACAGUGCACACCUGUGCCUAUUACUUCUCCCUGAAAUCUGGUGCAAGGAUGAGUGGUCAGUGCAGUUAAGAAUAGAGGGUAGGGGAGUUCCCGCUGUGACUCAGUGGAUUAAGAACCUGACUCGUGGUGGUCCCGUUGUGGCUCAGCGGUAACGAACCUGAUCAGUAUCCAUGAGGAUGCACAUUUGUUACUGCAUGAGGAUCCCUGGCCUCAAACAGUGGGUUAAGGAUCUGGCCCUACUGCAAGCUGUGGUGUAGGUUGCAGAUGCAGCUCUGAUCCCACGUUGUCAUGGUUGUGGUGUAGGCUGGGAGCUGCAGCUCCGAUUUGACCCCUAGCCUGGGAACUUCCAUAUGCUGUGAGUUUGAUCCUAGAAAGAGGAAAGAAAGAGAGAAAGAAAAGAAAGAAAGAAAGAAAGAAAGAAAGAAAGAAAGAAAGAAAGAAAGAAAGAAAGAAAGAAAGACAGAAAGACAGAAAGAAAGAAAGAGAAAGAAAGAAAGACAGACAGACAGAAAGAAAGAGAAAGAAAGAAAGACAGACAGACAAAGAAAGAGAAAGAAAGAAAGAAAGAAAGAAAGAAGAAAGAAAGAAAGAAAGAAAGAAAGAAAGAAAGAAAGAGAAAAAGAAAGAAAGAAAAAGAAAGAAAGAAAGAAAGACAGACAGACAGACAGGUGAAGGAGCAGUCAUCUCCCAGGCUGGGCCCCUGCCCUCUCUGCAGCUCACAGCAGGGGCUGGAGCCCUUAGGCUCUGGAGCAGCCUCUCCAGUUGCCCAAGUGCCUGGUUGCCAGCUGUUUCCAUCCUGGAGCAUUGCCUCCAGGGCUCUGAUGCAACACCACAGCCCUGCCCUGGGGAGAAGGAAUCGGGCGCUUCACACAGGGUCGGGCUCUUUUUUUCAGGUAACUGUAGAGAUUUCAAGUCCUGGAUGGAGCAAGGAGAGAAAAGUCUCCUAGGCCCUAUCGAGGCUUGUCUUCUCUUGGACCCUUGACCCGCCCCUCACUGGCCUUGGCCUUCAAGUUUGGGUAUACACUGGGCUCAGCGCAGCAUAUGGAGGUUCCCAGGCUAGGGGUGGAAUCAGAGCUAUUGCUGCCGGCCUACACCACAGCCACAGCAACGCCAGAUCUGUGACCUACACUACAGCUCACGGCAAUGCUGGAUCCUUAAUUCACUGAGCAAGGACAAGGAUCAAACCCUCGUCCUCAUGGAUACUAGUCGGGUUCAUUAACCACUGAGCCAUGAUGGGAACUCCAAAAUGCACAUUCUUCAGGGCCCACCCUAGACUUAUCUGAACCAGAAACUGGGGUGGGUGGAUGGGACAGCAGUGUUUUAAUAAGUUCUCCAGGGUUCUCUUGUGGCCCAGAGUUCUCUUGUGGUGCUGUCACUGCAGUGGAUGGAUUCUUGCUGCGGUGCGGGUUCAGUCCCUGGCCUGGGAACCUCCACAAGCCGUGAGCGUGGGUAAAAAACCCCAAACCAGUUCUCUGAGUGAUUCAGGUGCAUUCUGAAGUUUGGGAACCACUUCCCAGAGGAUCAGGGAGGGUCAUGGAGGGCAGAUCCUGUCCUGUCCCUUCAUUUUAGUGAGAGGGAAACAGAGGCAUUGUACAGAGAGCAGGACCUGGCUCAGGUGGCACAGAUAAUCAAGUGGCAGAGGGGACACUGGAAGUUAGACUACCUGUUUCCAGAGACACCCCCUCUUGCCUCGCCCCGCUCUUUCCUUUGACUCAGGCCGAUCACCCAAGUCCCUCCUGAUUCACUGUCACUGUCUGGAGGGUCACCGUGAUGCCCGGACCAUCAGGGCCGCCCACUCCCUGUGCCAGGCACCAUGCUCACCCGCAUUGGCUUGAUGAACCCUCACAACAUCCAGGCGGGCUGGCUCAAGUAUAACCCCAUUUUGCGGACCAGAAAACUGAGCCUAGAGAAAGGUCAGGACACUUGGUCACAGAGCAAGAAAGGGCUGAGACGACUCACACCAGUUUCCUGCCUCCAGAGCCUAGGCUGUAGCCAGCAGGACCACACCCAGGCUUGCAGGAAGGGCUCUUCUCUAGCAUCUUCUGCUGAGACACCUGAAGGGACAAAAAGCUCCUUAAGCAGGUAAAACAGCUGGCAAACAGCCAAGGCCUCGAAGCUCCUGCGUUUACUCAGAGCAGAGCGCCUGUUGCUUGGUGUGCCCACAAUUGUGCCGACCUUGUAGGGCAGGAGCGGGGUGGAUUAGAAGCAGUCCACCAGGGAAUUCCUGUCAUGGCUCAGCGGAAAUGCAUCCGACUAGGAAUCAUGAAGUUGCUGGUUCGAUCCCUGACUUUGUUCAGUGGGUUAAGGAUCUGGCGUUGCCGUGAGCUGUGGUGUAGGUCACAGACAUGGCUCAAAUCUGGUAUUGCUGUGGCUGUGGUGUGGGUUGGCAGCUACAGCUCUGAUUAGACCCCCUAGUCUGGGAACCUCCAUUUGCCUCAAGUGCAGCUCUAAAAAUAAAAAAGAAAAAUUAUACAAGCGUCUUAGCAGUCUGGCAUAUUUUGGAGGACAUUUGCAAGUCUCAAUUAAAAUUUCAUAACUCAAUCUUCAUAAUGUAUAUUACGAUUAGAAACUAUAGUAUAAAAUAUUAAGAAAGAUUUCAGUCUUUUUGUCUUUUUUUUGGCAGGGGAGGCUGCACCCACAGCAUAUGGAGGUUCCCAGGCUAGGGGUCAAAUUGGACCUGUAGCUGCCGGCCUACACCACAGCCACAGCAACGGGGGAUCCAAGCUGCGUCUGUGACCUACACCACAGCUCACAGCAAUGCUGGAUCCUUAACUCACUGAGCAAGGAUCCGGCGUUGCCAUGGGCUGUGGUGUAGGUUGAAGAUGCAGCUUGGACCCCGUGUUGCUGUGGUGUAGGCCGUGGCUCUGAUUCGACCUCCAUAUGCCGCUGGAAGCGGCCCUAGAAAAGGUAAAAAGACAAAAAAAAAAACCAAAAAAAAAAAAACCCAAGAACUACCGUACGCUCCAGCAAUCCCAUUCCUAGUCAUAUAACUGGACAAAACUACAAUUCAAGAUACAUGAACCUGUAUGUUCAUAGCAGCACUAUUCACAGUAGCCCAGACAUGGAAACAACCUAAAUGUCCAGCAACAGAGGAGUGGAUUAAGAAGAUGCGGGGGAGUUCCCAUUGUGGCUCAGUGGUAACAAACCCACCUGGCAUCAACGAGGACACAGGUUCCAUCCUGGCCUUAACCCUCAGGGGGUUAAGGAUCCGUCAUUGCCAUGAGCUGCGAUGUAGGUCGCAGAUGAGGCUUGGAUCCCAUGUUGCUGUGACUGUGGUGCAGAACAGCAGCUACAGCUCUGAUUCGACCCCUAGCCUGGGAACUUCUACAUGCCGCAGGUGUGGCCCCGAAAAGCAAAAACAGAAACAAAAACAAGAUGUGGUACAUAUACACAGUGGAAUACUACUCACCCAUAAAAAGAAUGAAAUAAUGCCAUUUGGAGUAACAUGGAUGGAACUAGAGACUCUUAUACUAAGUGAAGUAAGUCAGAAAGACAAACCAUAUGAUAUUACUUAUACCUGGAAUCUAAAAUAUGGCACAAGUGAACCUUUCUUUAGAAUAGGAACAGACUCACGGACCUGGGGAACAGACUUGUGGUUGCCAAAGGGGAAGGGGGCAGGGAGUGGGAUGGACUGGGAGUCUGGGGUUGGUAGAUACACAGAAUUACAUUUAGAAGGGAUAAGCAAGGAGGUCCUGCUCCACAGCACAGGGAACUAUAUCCAGUCUCUUGGGACAGAAUAAGACAGGGAAUGAUAUGAGAAAAAGAAUGUAGGAGUUCCCAUUAUGGCUUAGGGGGUUAUGAACUCAACUAGUAUCUAUGAGGAUGUGAUAAGGAUCCGGCAUUGCUGUGGCUGUGGCGCAGGCCAACAGCUGUGGCUCCAAUUCCACCCUAGCCUGGGAACUUCCAUGUGCUGCAGGUGCUGCCCUAAAAAGCCAAAAAAAAAAAAAAAAAAACCCAAAAUGAUC